rnacentral:rRNA from 1 species
UACGUAGGGUGCGAGCGUUGUCCGGAAUUAUUGGGCGUAAAGAGCUCGUAGGCGGUUUGUCACGUCUGCUGUGAAAUCCCGAGGCUCAACCUCGGGCCUGCAGUGGGUACGGGCAGACUGGAGUGCGGUAGGGGAGAAUGUAAUUCCUGGUGUAGCGGUGGAAUGCGCAGAUAUCAGGAGGAACACCGAUGGCGAAGGCAGUUCUCUGGGCCGUAACUGACGCUGAGGAGCGAAAGCGUGGGGAGCGAACAGG